ensembl:antisense Gm11100 predicted gene 11100
CAACAAUACAGCUUGAUGUUGUAGAAGCAGAGACAGAAGAGGUAACUGGAGGAAAUGGGCUUCUCCGCGCCAAGAGAACCACCAAGCGAUUAUCUGUGACAUCACUUCCUUCAGGGCUGCAGAAGGCACAAUAUUCAUCAAAAAAGAGACCACACUUCCCAGCACUUAAAAAGAAGAAGCGGAGCAUGGAAGCCAUUCUCCAGAAAUCAGAGCUGACUGUAGGCAAGCUUCAAAUGUGGAUGACCUCAUAGAAACAGUGACUGACAAAUCCAUGAAGCUUCUGGAACAAAGGCACGCUGAGCUUAAGCAGUGUGAGUUUCUAGGGGCUGAGAUCCUUCAGUCUUCGAAGCAAUUCCAAAGGCUUUCCAAGAGAACCACGAGGAAGUAUAAGCUGCGACGAGCAUGCUUCCCAUGCACCUGCUGCUGCUGCUGCUGAGUUCCCAGUACACAGCUCAGCUACCAAGGGGAGGGACCCUGCCUUAAACAGGGUAGACAAGCAGCAGCCAACGCUGUCAUCCGAAUCUAUCCACAUGCUACAGCAGGUGCACGCCCUCACACAUAAGCAUGCAAACAUAUGUACCAUGCAUGCAUGCUCCCAAAGAAGUAUUUUUUUAAAAAGAUUCUUUAAAACAAAAUGAUAGAAGAAGCAUUUACCAACCACAUUCCUCAAGGACUAAGAGAGAGCUGUAGAAAAGCAACACAGAUGGACUGAUUUCAUACGACAGCCAUUCUUAACAGUGUGAAAGCUUCCCCUACAAUAAACCCACGCCAUAAGUACUCAUCAUGGCCCUCUAAGGCCUACUCAUGGACUCCAUUUUCUCAAGUUUUACUAACAUCUUCUAGAAAUCUAUUCAUUUUCUCAUGUGUAUCCCAAACGCCAUCUUAGAUAAUCCUUACCUGGUUCGCUAAGGCAAGUGUUAGCAGCUACCUAGAGUUUUGAAUGACCACAAAGAUCCACCUUGAGACAUUUUAUUAAAUAUUUUCAGAUGCUGAUUUCUAUGUUUAAGGAUAAAAAUGUAUUUAAAAAAUACAUAUAUAUGGGAUACAUUUCCGUUCUGUGAAGAAAUAUGAAUGACACAUGAAUACUUGAAAGCAAAGUACUUCAAUGCUGAAGUUGAAAUAUCCCAAAAGUACAACACACUGAACCCAGGAAGCCCAUGCAGCUAUUCGCUGUCCCUGUAAAUGGCGACGGUCAGCCCAUCUACGGCUUAGGGUCUGCUUCCAUGGUGCUUUCUUGAGCUUCAUCCACCUCUGACAGCUUGUCAUCAUCUGUAGUUAAGAAGACACAGAACCUUACUCCAUGUCACCUACAUUUUGUGCCUAGUAAUGCAUGAGAAGUUUUAUUUUGCAUUAGCAAAUAUGGUUAUGUAUGCAGCCCCUGCGCAACCCCUCCAACGUAAUUGUUAUAUUUGAUUAUUUUUACAUAUUAUUAAGAGCAUAUAAUUUGUGUGAUAGAUUUCAUUAAAACCAAAGAACUAAAAUCUAGGUCUUAGCCUGAUU